GUGGGGAAUAUUGGACAAUGGGCGAAAGCCUGAUCCAGCCAUGCCGCGUGUGUGAAGAAGGUCUUCGGAUUGUAAAGCACUUUAAGUUGGGAGGAAGGGCAGUAAGUUAAUACCUUGCUGUUUUGACGUUACCGACAGAAUAAGCACCGGCUCACUUCGUGCCAGCAGCCGCGGUAAUACGAAGGGUGCAAGCGUUAAUCGGAAUUACUGGGCGUAAAGCGCGCGUAGUUGGUUUUGUAAGUUGGAGGUGAAAUCCCCGGGCUCAACCUGGGAACUGCCUCCAAAACUGCAUGACUAGAGUACGGUAGAGGGUAGUGGAAUUUCCUGUGUAGCGGUGAAAUGCGUAGAUAUAGGAAGGAACACCAGUGGCGAAGGCGACUACCUGGACUGAUACUGACACUGAGGUGCGAAAGCGUGGGGAGCAAACAGGAUUAGAAACCCGGGUAGUCC
rnacentral:rRNA from 1 species